rnacentral:rRNA from 1 species
GUUUGAUCCUGGCUCAGAGCGAACGCUGGCGGCAGGCUUAACACAUGCAAGUCGAGCGGGCAUAGCAAUAUGUCAGCGGCAGACGGGUGAGUAACGCGUGGGAACGUACCUUUUGGUUCGGAACAACACAGGGAAACUUGUGCUAAUACCGGAUAAGCCCUUACGGGGAAAGAUUUAUCGCCGAAAGAUCGGCCCGCGUCUGAUUAGCUAGUUGGUGAGGUAAUGGCUCACCAAGGCGACGAUCAGUAGCUGGUCUGAGAGGAUGAUCAGCCACAUUGGGACUGAGACACGGCCCAAACUCCUACGGGAGGCAGCAGUAGGG